rnacentral:tRNA from 5 species
GUCCCUGUAGUUUAAUCGGAUAGAACGUAUGCCUCCUAAGCGUAUGAUGUGGGUUCGAUUCCCGCCGGGGACGCCA